GACAGAGGUCCCGAGCGUUAGGCGGAAUUACUGGGCGUAAAGGGCGCGUAGGCGGCCGCCUAAGUCAGACGUGAAAUCCCUCGGCUCAACCGGGGAACUGCGUCUGAUACUGGGUGGCUUGAAUUCGGGAGAGGGAUGCGGGAAUUCCGAGGUGUAGCGGUGAAAUGCGUAGAUAAUCUGGAGGAAUACCGGUGGCGAAGGCGGCGAGUCC
rnacentral:rRNA from 1 species